AUACGGGGGGAGCAAGCGUUGUCCGGAAUCACAGGGCGUAGAGGGCGUGCAGGCGGGUUGGUCAGUCAGAUGUGAAAGCCUGCGGCUUAACCGUAGAAAUGCAUUUGAAACUGCCGGCCUUGAGUGCGGGAGAGGGUGGUGGAAUUCCCAGUGUAGCGGUGAAAUGCGUAGAUAUUGGGAAGAACACCAGUUGCGAAGGCGGCUACCUGGACCGGUACUGACGCUGAGGUGCGAAAGCGUGGGGAGCAAACAGGAUUAGAUACCCCGGUAGUCC
rnacentral:rRNA from 1 species